ACCAGAAGCCCACCUUCAGCUUGCACUGUUCAGGCAAGAGAAUCUUCUCCUUUAGGAAACCUUCCCUAAGAUACUAGGAUCAGAUUUAUACUACAUCGUCUUUUUUUCUCACACUUCAAAAACAUGCUUCCUGUUGAAAAAAGGAAGAGACAGUCUAUGGGCGAAAGGAUGUUCUUCUUAGCAAGAGUGCAUGGUUGCCUUCCUUACAAUCACC
rnacentral:lncRNA from 1 species